rnacentral:rRNA from 1 species
GAUUAACGCUAGCGGCAGGCAUAAUACAUGCAAGUUGAACGGCAGCACAGGUAGCAAUACUGGGUGGCGAGUGGCGCACGGGUGCGUAACACGUAUGCAACCUACCCUAUACAGGCGAAUAACCUUUAGAAAUGAGGGCUAAUACGCCGUAGUAUUACAGAUGGGCAUCUAUUUGUAAUUAAAGAUUUAUCGGUAUAGGAUGGGCAUGCGUCCCAUUAGUUAGUUGGUAAGGUAACGGCUUACCAAGACGAUGAUGGGUAGGGGAUCUGAGAGGACUUACCCCCACACUGGUACUGAGACACGGACCAGACUCGGACGGGAGGAAGAAGUAAGGAAUAUUGGGCAAUGGCCGCGAGGCUGACCCAGCCAUGCCGCGGGCAGGAAGACGGCCUUAUGGGUUGUAAACUGCUUUUAUACGGGAAUAAUAGAGUGUACGCGUACAUUUAUGCAAGUAUCGUAUGAAUAAGCAUCGGCUAACUCCGUG